rnacentral:lncRNA from 1 species
UAGUAUACAUAUUUUUAAGGGCCAGCUGAAGGACACCUACGGGUGCGGGAAUUCUCGCUACAUUGAAGACCCAUUGGUGGCCUUCGGCUGUUGUCUGCUCUAUGGUCGGGUUGUUGUCGCUUUGACACAUUCCCCAUUUCCUUUCUCAAUUUUAUGAUCAUAAUCCUAUAACAUAUAGAGACUAGCAGUGAUCGGCGUGGGGAAGAAACUGGGAAUAGAUAGUUGAUAGCAAAUACACUUUACUUAUAUUGUAUGUAUGUUCAGAGUAUAUAGAAACGCGAAAAUCAUAGAAUUUAACUGAAAGCAGAAAAAAUAACGGACUUUGGAAAAAGGGAGAGGACUUAAAAUAAUUGUCCUGUCUCCAAGUGCAUAUAACUCCGUU